rnacentral:rRNA from 1 species
GACGAACGCUGGCGGCGUGCUUAACACAUGCAAGUCGAAAGAAGUGGCGAACGGGUGAGUAACGCGUAAUCAACCUGCCCUUCAGCGGGGGACAACAGUUGGAAACGACUGCUAAUACCGCAUACUGAAGGAGGGGAUUGAGUCUGAUUAGCUAGUUGGGGGGGUAACGGCCCACCAAGGCGAUGAUCAGUAGCCGGUCUGAGAGGAUGAACGGCCACAUUGGGACUGGGACACGGCCCAGACUCCUACGGGAGGCAGCAGUGGGGAAUCUUCCGUAAUGGACGAAAGUCUGACGGAGCAACGCCGCGUGAGUGAUGACGGCCUUCGGGUUGUAAAGCUCUGUUAAUCGGGACGCGGUACCGGAAUAGAAAGCCACGGCUAACUACGUGCCAGCAGCCGCGGUAAUUC